CAUGUAGCUCUAUAGUACAGAGGUGGAGGCUAAAAUAGAUUUAAAUACACUGGGGUGUCCCCAAGCACUGACUCCAUAUAUGGAUAUAGCUAUAUGUGGAGUCAAAGCAGGGACUCCUUAGCCUGACUAGAAUCCCGACACCCUCCCCUCUGAGCAGCGGGUGUCUGGGGUUCUCCCACUGACUUCCACUGUGCUCG